GACAGUUACACACUGGAACAAAACAGUUAAUUAGGCUUUACUUUGUGCUUACCUUCAAUAUUAUAAAUAAUCCCAAAAACCCAAAAGAGCUUGAUAAAGUGUCUCGUCAUUUUACGUGUCACGUCGAAUUCAGUCUACGAAGAUAAACAAACGCAUCGUUGUUCUGUCAGACUAUCUGCGUUACAAAUCCGCGUCGAAAAUGAAUAGUUUUACAGGUUAUAUGACGGAAUGGCAUUUCAGUUGAGAUCUACAGGUUUCACAGUCAUGUCUCUGUCGUUUCAGUCAGGCUGAGUGUUGAACAGAGCGCCAUCCGGAUCGAGACCCGCCCCGGUGACUGACUGGAGCAGCAGCAGGAGCUCAGCUCAUGACCUCCGACGACUUGACGAGCCAGCGCUAACUAAUUACUCCAACAAUUGGUAGCAGGUCAUGUGGAGCGACCCUGAUCAGGAGGAUGGAGAACACGCUAAUCUUCCUAAAGAGAGAGCAAGAGAGAGACGGAGAGAAAAAAAGUAGAUAGAGAAAAAAAUUAGACUCUUAUGCCAUCAUAAAGAAAGAUAGGAUAGUGGAUAUGUAGAGAAUGAUAACCCUUGAAUCAAAGCAAAACAAAAGCUUAUAUCUUGGUCUGUGAGUUUCAU
rnacentral:lncRNA from 1 species